rnacentral:rRNA from 1 species
UAGUCCACGCCGUAAACGAUGGUCACUAGCUGUUCGGACUUCGGUCUGAGUGGCUAAGCGAAAGUGAUAAGUGACCCACCUGGGGAGUACGUUCGCAAGAAUGAAACUCAAAGGAAUUGACGGGGGCCCGCACAAGCGGUGGAGCAUGUGGUUUAAUUCGAAGCAACGCGCAGAACCUUACCAACCCUUGACAUCCUGUGCCACUACCAGAGAUGGUACGUUCCCUUCGGGGACGCAGUGACAGGUGCUGCAUGGCUGUCGUCAGCUCGUGUCGUGAGGUGUCAGGUUAAGUCCUAUAACGAGCGCAACCCCUGUUGUUAGUUGCCAGCAUGUAAAGAUGGGAACUCUAACAAGACUGCCGGUGCAAACCGUGAGGAAGGUGGGGAUGACGUCAAAUCAUCACGGCCCUUACGUCCUGGGCUACACACGUGCUACAAUGGUAGGGACAGAGAGCAGCCACUUCGCGAGAAGGAGCGAAUCUAUAAACCCUAUCACAGUUCGGAUCGG